AUUGAACGCUGGCGGAAUGCUUUACACAUGCAAGUCGAACGGUAGAGGGGGCAACCCCUCGAGAGUGGCGAACGGGUGAGUAAUAUAUCGGAACGUGCCCAGUCGUGGGGGAUAACGUAGCGAAAGUUACGCUAAUACCGCAUACGAUCUAAGGAUGAAAGCGGGGGAUCGCAAGACCUCGCGCGAUUGGAGCGGCCGAUAUCCGAUUAGGUAGUUGGCGGGGUAAAGGCUCACCAAGCCAACGAUCUGUAGCUGGUCUGAGAGGACGACCAGCCACACUGGAACUGAGACACGGUCCAGACUCCUACGGGAGGCAGCAGUGGGGAAUUUUGGACAAUGGACGCAAGUCUGAUCCAGCCAUUCCGCGUGCAGGAUGAAGGCCCUCGGGUUGUAAACUGCUUUUGUACGGAACGAAAAGGUCUCUCUUAAUACGGGGGACUCAUGACGGUACUGUAAGAAUAAGCACCGGCUAACUACGUGCCAGCCGCCGCGGUAA
rnacentral:rRNA from 1 species